rnacentral:rRNA from 1 species
UGGGGAAUAUUGGACAAUGGGCGCAAGCCUGAUCCAGCCAUGCUGCGUGAGUGAUGAAGGCCCUAGGGUUGUAAAGCUCUUUCACCGGUGAAGAUAAUGACGGUAACCGGAGAAGAAGCCCCGGUUAACUUCGUGCCAGCAGCCGCGGUAAUACGAAGGGGGCUAGCGUUGUUCGGAUUUACUGGGCGUAAAGCGCACGUAGGCGGACUAUUAAGUCAGGGGUGGAAUCCCGGGGCUCAACCCCGGAACUGCCUUUGAUACUGGUAGUCUUGAGUUCGAGAGAGGUGAGUGGAAUUCCGAGUGUAGAGGUGAAAUUCGUAGAUAUUCGGAGGAACACCAGUGGCGAAGGCGGCUCACUGGCUCGAUACUGACGCUGAGGUGCGAAAGCGUGGGGAGCAAACAGG